ACCAGUAGGACCAGAUGACCAUGGAGGCCUGACCUGGGGCUGCCUGGCAGUAGUGGAAACCCAGGUGCCCCAGAGCUGAGUCUUCCACAGGCACCCAGAAGGCUAUCCUUAAUCCCUCUGCGCCAAGUAGCAGCAAAGCCCAGGAGUUCCCUGAGGGCCAUAGACUACUUGGCUGUAUUCUGUUAUCCCUGCCUUUUCCUGGAACGCCGAGGCUCACAAUGCAACUUCAGAUAAGAACACAAAUAUCAGUGCGGGGCAGCCUGAGCUGAGGAUUCAUCUGGGAGGAUCAACUCUAAGACUGAUGCUCUCACGAAGAUCUCAGGAAUACCCACAAAGAGUGCCUGUCCUCUUGCUCUUGUGUGGGUUCUGUGUCUUACAAACCCACUCUCCUGACCCUGCUUCUCAGCAUGCAUCACCUGUGUGCCUGAGAGAUCCACAAAUGCUAAGCUCUACACUUCACCCUAAGGGGCUCCUCAGCAACCAGGACAACUGUGAGAGGCUGAGGGUGUCACUUCAUCUCUGGAAGAGCACACAAAG